AAGUACUCUCCUUUCUGCUGCUAUCACUCUCAGUGGGUCCAACUAUAUCCUCAAGCAACUCUUCCCAAAAUGCAGCUGCUCCACUCAGUUGUGUGGUGGUGGUGGUAGUGGUUCUGCUAGAAGUAGCCAACAUCUCAGCCUCCUGCUGAACUACUCCCUCAGACAGCAUUCCCCUCUUUUGCUGCCAGUCACACUCCCUCUGGAUCAGUUUAUCCCUACAAGUUGUUAGGCUAUUGGAUCUUAGUGCAAGCUUUCCC